AUGCCAUAUGUUUUUGUAGGGGAGGAAAGAAAUCAUUUCCUUCUACUCUUCUAGGUUCUCCACUGGGGGACCAUGUAACAACAGAGUAUAACAAGAGAAACAGACGUUUAUUAACCUGUAUAUAUCCCAUAUACAUGGGAGAAGCUCAAGGAUGAGUAACUCAAAGAGGUGGCGAAAACUUGAACCUAAAUGCUGUCUUCAACUAAAACAAAGGAAGAAGGAUGUAAAGGAGCUGCUGCUCCGUUCUGCUGCUUUAUUUAUUUUACAGUCUGUGGAUCAUAUUUGUCUCCUACUUUCACAUGGAUGGACUCUGUGGGGAGGUGCUUUUUCAUUCUCCUUGAAGAUUUGGGAUCGUUUUCAGGAAUUGAAGAAGAGAGGCUUAUUUAUACAGAUCGCCUUGUACUUGCUCACAGAAGGUCAGUGUUCCAUUGCAGCCGAGGGGACAAUCUCAACCAUCCCACUAGCUGAAUAGAAAUCUGAAGGUCUGGGCACCUGGGUGGCUCAGUUGGUCGAGCAUCCAACUCUUGAUUUUGGCUCAACUCAUGAUCCCAGUGUCGUGGCAUCAAGCCCUGAGUCAGACUCUGCACUGAACCUGAGGCCUGCUUUGAGAUUCUCUCUCUCUCUCUCUCUCUCUCUCUCUCCCCUCCCCACCUCUGUGCCUGUCCCCAGCAUGUACUCUCCCUCUCUAAAAAAAAGAAAAAAAGAAAAAAAAGAAAUAUCUGGAGAUAUUAAAAAGAAAAGAAAUCUGAAGGUCACAGAAGUCUUGAAUGUGUUCCUUCCAUUAUGCUUAUUAAAAACUAGUAUUUCCUAAUCUGAAAAUUUAGAGUUUGCAUUCUCCAGGGAGAGUAAGUUCUUCCCAUAUCGUUGUGCAAUCUUCAUUCUCUGAGUGACGUCUUUAUCACCAGUUGUGUUUAAUAAUUCUGAUACAGGUUCUGAUACAGGUACAGGCACAAACACAUCUCAGUUAAGGGUAAAGGAAUGUUGAAUAAACUGGCUUCUCCUAUGAGAAUAUUGCCAGAAUGUAAGCAUCAUGGGUGCAAGGGUCUCUGUUUUGCUCAUUCAUGUUUUCCUGGCGAAAUGCCUUGCACAUAGUAAUGUUCAGUUAGUAUUUGUCAAACAGUUUUAUGGCUGAAACCAUCUCUUAUGUUUCUUGGCUUUUGUCAUGUUUUAUCUUAAUGCCUCUGUAUUAUAGUGUCCUAAGGCUCCAUAACAAAAUGCUACAAACCGAGUGGCUUAAAACAACAGAAAUGUACUCUCUGGAGUUCUGAAGGCCAGAAGUCUGAAGUCAGGUGUUAGCAGAGCUACAGUCGCUCCAAAGGCUCUAGGAGAGAAUCUCUCCUUGCCGCUUUCAUUUUCUGAUGACUCCAAGUCCUCCUAGGUUUGUGGCAAGAUCACUCCCGUCUCUGCCUCCAUAUUCACAUGGCCUUCCCCCUGUGUCUGUUUCUUCUUGUCUUCUUCUAAAGACAUUUAACAUUAGAUUUAAGGUCUACUCUAUCAAUCCAGGAUGAGCUCAUCUCAAGAGCCUUCACUUAAUUACAUCUAUAAUGACCCUUUUUUCCAAAUGAGUUUACAUUCAUGGGUACCAGGAUUAGGAUGCAGACAUAUGUUCUUAGUGGCCACAAUUCAACACGCUAUAACCUCUGGUCCUGUUUUCAGAUUCUAGUCAUUCAGUCCAUGUUUACUAAGUGUUUAUUAUGUGCCUGACACUAAACAGUGAGGAUGCAAACAUCAGUAUGCUAUGGCCACUUUCUUUAACAGAUAAUAACUUAUCAAAGGUUUUUAUUCUAAAUCACUCAGAUUCAAAAUAAAA